GGAAACCUGGAAACUACCGUUGGAUCGAAAAAUAGAUGUCUGAUAUUCGUCCACGUAAUCACGAGUAAAAAUUUUACUUGUAAGUUGACUCAUGAGUAAAAAGUUUACUAGGAGCAAAAUUUUACUCAUGGUGACAUGGACAAAUCUUAGACGUCUAUUUUUCGAUCCAACGGUAGUUUCCAGGUUUCC
rnacentral:pre_miRNA from 1 species